rnacentral:tRNA from 1 species
GGAGGGUUGGCGGAGCGGUAACGCGCCGGGUUGCUAACCCGUGGCUGGGUGGCAACACCCACGGGAGUUCGACUCUCUCACCCUCCG